GCCCGGGAACCUCCAUAAGCUGCUGGUGUGGCCCUAAAAAGACAAAAGACAAAAAAAAAAAAGAAAAAGAAAUAGAAUUAGCAAUGGAUGCAGUUGGUGAAAGAUUGAUAAACAGCAUAUUUAUAGGCAAAGUCUUUCUCCAUGAGAUACAUUAACUAUAAAGGGAAAAGAAUGAUUUUGCAGUGGAGAAACCUGGCAAAUUAAAGUUAACACCGCUAACAAUGAGACAAAUUGAUCUCAUGGGACUCUCAAUGAGAUGCAUUGAGAAGAAUACAUUCCUCUUGGGGUGGUCUUGCUUCAACUGCAUAACCUGAAUUUAAUUAUGGAGUAUCAGACAACCUCGAAUUGAGGAAGACUACAUUGCAGAAUUUACAAAAUGGCCAGUUCUCAAGGUCAUGGAAGACAAGGAAAGACUUAAGUGACUAUGCCAGUUUAAAGAAGACUAAGGAGAAUUAUCAAUGGCAAUAUAUGAUCCUGGAUUGGAUCCUUAUCCAGAAAGGACCCUAAAGACACCGAUGAAAUUUGAAUAAGAGAAAGAAGGGUUUCAGGGGAAGAAGAAAACUUGAUGCACGGACAGCUUGGCUUCUGGAUGUUCAACAAUAGUUCUUUCCUUCUCCUUUCAAUGUAUGUCUUAGAGAAGAGUCAAGAAAAAGCAAUCAUGAGGAGCCAGGGCAGUUUUAAUGGGUCAUCGCCCACCCGUCCUACACAGGAGGAGGGAGGGCACAGAAGAUGCCCAAUCUCGGUGUUACAGAUGCUCGCUGUUCAGGGCUAUAAUUUGUCAGAGCACUAGAGUCACAGGGACCUCACACCCACAAAAUUGGUGCUGCACAAAAUAGUGUCACACGGACACAACCACACAUCCACUCUUAACACACACAGGACACAACUACACAAUCAUAGACACCUCCACACCCGUAUACACAGGCACAAUCACACCACUAACGCAGUUACACAAUCUACUCACCACCAUGACACACAAAGACACAUUCAAAAUAGCGCAUCCUCAGCCCGUUCCCGCCAGCGCGCACAAACCCAAGGCUCUGGACACGCCCCGUCCCCGCCCCAGACUCCCAGACCCCUCACCUUCUGCCUCCCCUUGGUCGCGUCCGGGUCCCGGCGGAGCAAACGAUCUCGCCACGACGUCAAGAGACACGUAACGCUGGGCCGCUGUGGACUCUGGGAAACGUAGUCCAGGACCAGACCAGCCAGAGACAUGAUGGCGUCCUCAAACCAGAAAGUCAGAGCUCGGCCUAUAUGACACUGCUUCAAAGAGGAGGGUUCCAGCUCCAAACGUCCACCAGGCUUGAGCUGAUAUCCCCCCAAGGUUAUAAGCUGACCAAACUGUAUGUGAGUCUCUGUUGAAGCAAGAAGACGAACUCUGAAUGGUGGAGAAAAAAGUGGAAAUGAAAUUUGUCCAGGUCAUACACAGAGAAGCCCUACAAAUGUAAGAAAUGUGGAAGUACCUUCAGCCAAAAGUAAAUUUUCAUUCAUCAAAAAAUUCGUACUGGAGAGAAACCUUGUGAAUGUGGGAAAGCUUCCAUUCAGAUGUCACACCUCAGUCAGCAGAGAAUUUGUAGUGGGGAAAACCCCUUUGCUUGUAAGGUAUGUGGGAAGGUCUUCAGCCACAAAUCAACUCUCACUGAGCAUGAGCAUUUUCAUAAUAGAGAGAAACCUUUUGAAUGUAAUGAAUGUGGAAAAGCCUUCAGCCAAAAGCAGUAUGUCAUUAAACAUCAGAACACCCAUACUGGAGAGAAGCUUUUUGAAUGUAAUGAAUGUGGAAAAUCCUUCAGCCAGAAGGAAAACCUUCUUACCCAUCAAAAGAUUCAUACUGGAGAGAAACCUUUUGAGUGUAAGGAUUGCGGGAAAGCUUUCAUUCAGAAGUCAAACCUCAUCAGGCACCAGAGAACUCACACAGGAGAGAAGCCGUUUGUAUGUAAGGAGUGUGGGAAAACCUUCAGUGGUAAAUCAAACCUUACUGAACACGAGAAAAUCCAUAUUGGAGAGAAACCGUUUAAGUGUAGUGAAUGUGGAACAGCUUUUGGUCAGAAGAAGUACCUCAUAAAACAUCAAAAUAUUCACACUGGAGAGAAACCCUAUGAAUGUAAUGAAUGUGGAAAAGCCUUCUCUCAGCGAACAUCACUUAUUGUACAUGUGAGAAUUCAUUCAGGUGAUAAGCCUUAUGAAUGCAAUGUAUGUGGAAAAGCCUUCUCUCAAAGUUCAUCUCUUACUGUACAUGUGAGAAGCCAUACAGGGGAGAAACCCUAUGGUUGUAAUGAAUGUGGGAAAGCUUUCUCUCAAUUCUCAACCCUUGCUCUACAUUUGAGAAUACACACAGGUAAGAAGCCUUAUCAAUGUAGUGAAUGUGGGAAAGCUUUCAGCCAGAAGUCACACCACAUUAGACACCAGAAGAUUCAUACUCAUUAAAAACCUGUGGAUAUCAUAAAAAUUGAAAAGUGUUCAUCAGGAAUUUAUACCUCAGAACACAUCAGAAAUAAUCGUUGUGAAGGAAAGCAUCACAAACAAGGGAAACAAAAGCUGUUAACUAAAAGGACACCAGAGAAUUCAUCUUGAAGCAAAAGACAUUUGUUUGAUAAAAAUCCUAUAUCCAACAGAAAACAAACAGCAAAGGUAAUACUGAAACUUACAGUGCAUUUCCACUACAAUUGGGAGUGGAAAACAUGCUUACCAUUGCUAUCUGCAUAGAUCUGGAGAUGUUCACCAAUGUAAAAAAAAAAAAAAAAAAUUGUAAGUAUUAGGAAGAGACCUAUGAUAUCAAUUUAGCAGAACAGAAGAGAUUCUGGAAACACCUAUGCAUUUAUUAGAAUUUAUAAUAUAAUAGAAAUGGCAUCAGGCGAAGAUAAUGGAACUAUUUACAAAAUGAUUUGGAGAUAAUUUUUUCUCUGAGAAAAAAAAUAAUAGACAGUGAACUAUACACAAAGAUAAGAUCCAAGAGGAUUAAAAACAGGAAUAUGGAAAAGCUGUAUACUAAAAUGGUUAUGACCUUGGAAGUUGGGAAACAUUCCUUAUAGCAAAUUGAAAAAUACCUGGCAAUUUUACUAUGCUCGGGAAAUACAUACCGGGCUAUUUACUGUGGCAUGAUUUGCAGUAGUCAUAAAUUGGAAACAACUUAAAUGCCCAUCAGGAACAAAUGGGAAAUACUUAAUGAUGGAAUGCUGUAUAUCUGUAAAAUGUAGUAAAUGAGAUCAAUAUGUAUUACAGAGAAAGAUCUCAAAAGUCAUGUUGAGGGGGAAAGAUAAAGUUGCAGAGUGACAUAUAAUACAAUGACAUUUUUGUAAAUUUGAAUUAAAACUUCCCUCACAAAUUCAUUGCUAUAUAUUGGUAAUGGAUACAUAUAUGUGUGUAUGUUUUUAAAAUGUUUCUGAAGUGGAUUGGAAGGAUACAGACCAAACUCUUGAUAGUGGUUGCCUAUGAAGAGAGGAGAAAGGGAAAGGGGGUGUGUGUGGGGGAGGGGGAGGGAGGUUUGGUUAGCUGAGACUUCAGUUUUUUAUAUAAACAUCCAUUUCUCUUUAAAGGAAAAAAAACUUCAAGUAAAUAUAUUGAAGUACUGGUUAAUUCUGGAUUGUGGUAUAUGGAUAUCUUGUCUUAUUUUUUGUACUUUUCUGUAUUUUAAAUUCUUCUCAAAAUUAAUAAAAAUGGGGGUGAGGAUGGGAACACUGUACCUAUAGAAAUGUUCUAAUGGAUUCAUUCCCAAUCAACUACUAAACUUUUUAUAGAAAAUAUUUCUAAAAUUUUAUCAAUGAGUGAAUGGACUUGCUCUCUAUGUAGUAUGAAAUUAUCUAUUUUAUUAAAAUUAAAAAUGACAGCAUUAUCCA